UGCUACGAUACUAUUUUAAGCUACUAAUAACUAUUUAGCUAUACUUAGUACCUAAAACUAAACUAUUGUCUACCUCUUUAACUAUAUAUAAAAAUAAUUACAAUAAUACUAAAAUAUAUUAAACUACUGUAUUUACAUAUGUAAUGCAGGCAUUUACCUAUAGAUAAUAUAUAAUUAUUAAAAUUUACCUAAGUAGAAGUGCUAAAAUAUAUACAAAUUAAAUUACAAUAUCAAGUAUCAAUAGUGAAUAGACUCAAGACUGAACCAUGUCCAUAACUAGUAAAUAUUAGAGUCUAGAGGCAGAAGCCUCGGACAAUUCAAUACAUAUGUUACACUUUUUACAAAUCUUUCACAGUGAAAAGAAUAAAUUCGUAGAUUGCCAGGAAGCAAUCUCUAUGUGAUAAAAGUUGCGGAAGAGAGCGCGGGAUAUUAUCUGAUGAUUUAUAAAUGCUAAGUAGAUGAUCAAUUAGUACAAUCCUAUCAAGUAUAAAACUACGGCAUUCGAAGAAAAUGUGGUGAAGACAUUGGGGUUCGUUGGAAUUACAGAAGUUGCAAUUCGGAGAUGGGAUAAGGUUUAUCCGUAUGAACAUUAAAUAGACAAUGGCCCAGACGUAAGCGACACAAAACCGUAUAAAAUUUUUUGUUAUGGUGUUGGUUACCUCUGCAAAACCAAGGAAUACCAAUUGAAUUAUUAAUUUCAGCAUACCAUUUACCCUUUGUUUCAAUAGUUUGAUACCAAUGUUGGUUAAAGUUUUCUGUAAUUUCCUUCUUAAUACAGAUUAGAAGAUCAGAUUGUGGAGGCGAAAUCUGUUUAUUAGAAAAAGGUAUAGUUGAAGAGUUGUUUGUGAUGGAUUUGGCAAGGAAAUCAGCUUUUUCGUUACCUAUAACACCAAUAUGUGAAGGUGUCCAAAAAAUACUAUAUUUUUUGAAAAGGAUAAUUGAAAGUAUUUUUCUCGAAUUUCGUGAAUGAUGUAAUUUGUUUUAGAAUUGAGUCCAGGAUUAUCUAAAGCUUGUAAAACACUCAUGCUAUCAGUGACUAUAACCCAUUUAUUAGAGACUUGCUUUUGGAUAUAAUUCAGAGCUUCUAAUAUUGCCGAAGAGUCUGCUGAGAAAAUACUGAAUUUUUCAGGUAACUUGUACCCUAAGCCUCUCUCUGCAGUAACAUCAUAGAAAGCAGUUGCCACUGCCUCACUGUUUUUUGCACCAUCAGUGUAGAUUUGUUGAUACCCCACAAAGUCUGAUAAACCAUUGAAGACAUCCUCUUUAUAUUUUAAUUUGUAGUGUAUGACUAUCUCUAUAAGGCAAAACUUACUUAAAUAAGAACCAUUAUAACAAGGAAAUUGGAGUGAACUUAAAAUGGAUGAAAGAAUAUGCAAAUUUACAUUGUUGAAGGCACCAAUUAUGUCAAGGAAAACAGCUACUAAGACUUUGUUGUUCUGAAAAGCAUCAUCAAUAUCCAAAUACAAAUGGCUCAGACUCUCUCUGGCAGAGCGACCAUGGCGAAAUCCAAACUGAUUGCUUGGUAAUAUGCUAUUAUGUUCAACAUAAAAUUCAAUCCUUUGUUUUAAUAAUUGUUCAAAAAUUUUUCCAACACAAGAUGAUAAAGUAAUUGGGGGAUAAGAAUCUGCCUCAUUAGGGUUUUUGUCCAGUUUAAGUAUUGGUACCAAACAAUCAACUUUCCAUUCGCGAGGUAUGGUGUUAAAUUUCCAGAAUAAAUUAAUAAUUACCUAAAAAAUUUGUAAGUUUGAUGUAUCUAACAACUGUAACAUUUUAUAUGAUAUGCCAUCAAGUCCACAAGCAGUAUUUUUUCUUGAUUUCAAAGCUGCCUGUAAUUCAACUAUUGUAAAGCUAUCAGUCAGAUAUGAAUUGGAGGGCAGUGACUUAAGGCUACUAUUUGAGAUAGAAGUGUUCUCUACUGUAUCAGUGGGAAGAUGAUAUCCUCCUAAAGGGGAAUCACAGACCUUCCAUUCACAAGAUAAAAGUAAUGAAGAGGAUACCAUUGUCAAAUCAAGACCAUUCGGCCGCCAACUGUUUGUUGUCAUUCAAAAGUGCCAAGUCAUUCUCCUCCAUGACAUCUAAGAUAUCUCUACCACGAGUGUCUGUGCUUCCACAACCCCAAAGAGUAAUAUGUGCAUUAAAAUCACCAGCUAUUAUCAUUGGACCAGGAAUGGACUUUAUUAAAUUAUUCAACUUUGAUUUUGUAAAACAAGGAGUGGAACGUGGAGGACUAUAGAAGCUUACUUUUGAUAUUAAUAUGUGGUUAAUUUGUAUUUGUAUAACAAUAUUUUGUAUUGAAUCAUCAUAUGAAGUAAUUACAUUUUGAAAAUGAAUACUAUUAUGAACUAUAACAGCCACACCAUUAUGAGCAUUAUCACAGUCAUUUCUCACAAUGGUAUAGCCUUUUAUACUAAGUUUCAUAGAAGGUUUUAACCAGGUCUCUGAAAUUAAAGCUAUGUGAAUUUGUUUAUCACUAAUAAAUUUCUUGAAAUCAUUUUUAUUAUGCAUAGUGCUUUGAGCAUUCCACUGCAUAAUAUUUAGGGUGUUGAAAUUGAAUUUGAAGGGAAAAAAAAUGUAUUUCAGUAAAUUCUUAGUCAAUAAAAAAAAUACUUUGAGAGUCUGAUAUGUUAGGUGUUAUUGUUUUUUAAUGUUGCAUGUAAAAUAUCUGUAAUAUUUUGACUGUUAAUUGCCAUAUUUUCUGUUUUAUUUAAUGAUAUUAUUCUGAUUAACGAUUUUGUUAUCAAAUUAAUUGUUAACAUAAUUAAUUAACUUUGUUGUCUGAAAGUAAUUUAGAGAUAUCUAGUGGAUUUUUAUUUAAGCUGGGGAAAUUACUUUCAUUAAACAAAGAUGAGUAAGGUCUUGAAAUAAAUUUGUUUUUAUUUUCUGUGAUA